rnacentral:tRNA from 1 species
GUACCUGUAGUUCAAUGGAUAGAAUCUCGGACUUCGGAUCCGCUGAUGAGGGUUCGAAUCCUUCCAGGUGCA